AUGUGCCCGAGUGCGGCGGAUCAUCUCCAUCAUUCCCGGCGCCCAGCUGACAGACCUCGUCCCCCUCCCUGGCCAAACCCUUGGCUGCAGAAGAUGCGUCCCGAGAGCCCCGCCAGCCAGCUCCUUACGGGGGUGGUGAAGCCAUGCAAACCAGAAGUGCCCAGAAAGGUGUUUGCCCGGUGGAGAGGUCCCCAUAGGAAAUACUUUUCCUGCCAUGUGGUCUCCUGCUUCUCCACUUUGUGAAAUGACUGAGAGACCUGGAUGGAUCCACCAAAGCUUUGUAAGAGGCCACUAGAAACUUGCAGGCUCUUUGCCUCCACUGGACAUGCCACAAAGCUUACAACAACUGCCAGCUCCCUGCUCUUCUGGGAUUUCAUGCUCAUGUACUGAGAAUGAAUGCUGAGCCACAGCUCAUUGUUCAAGAUCCCAAACAUCUGUUUGUGGGAUAGAGAUUCUGUGUAUCCAUACAAAUUAUUCUAAAAGUGACUUCCAUGUGAGCACAUUGUGACUUUUGCUCAAGACGUGGAUGUUUUUCCCACCCGCUGCAUCAUUGGAGUAGCAGAAAGACUUCAAACUGUGAGUGGUCAAAUGCUCAUUCAUUUAAUAUGUUUUCAUAACUGGAGAGAAGACUUACCUUCCUGUGCAGACAAAAAAAAACUAUCAUUAUCUUUCCCAUACUCUGACUUUUGAACAUCUCUAUUACCUACCCUGGAAAAAUAUUUACUUUAUAUUUACUUUCAGGAUCAUGACGUGGCAGUGAAAUAAGGCCUGAAGAGUGGAUAUCUGCCUAUUCCACCUCUUGACAGUAGAAAAGGGGCUUUACUUGCUGAUUUGUACAUUGGGACAUUUGUAUGUCUGCUUGCUAGUCUGCUUUUCUACAGUGGUGGUGAACUGUUCUCUUUAAACAAGACAAUCAAGCCGUCAGAAGAACUACUUGCAUGUGACAUUUUAGGAAAGUGGAGCAGUAAAGUUUUCCUGUUUCAGGGAUUGUUUCAGGAGUGGUUUUUUCAGCUUGAUCAGUAACAAGUAUGCCUUAGUGCAGAAGUGGUUCCUCUCUUCUCAUAAGCCUAGCCUAAGUACAGUUUCCAAAGGCUUGGGUUGUUCUGGUAUCACAGUGGUUGCACGUGCAGCAGAGGCAGAUUCCUGUCCUGAGAAGGUUGCAGUAACUGGCCUGGUGCCUUGUGAGAGUUCAGAGGAACUCAUAGGUGUUCAGCUGAUGGGUCAGGUUUCUAGACUGGAAAACCAGUGACAUUUAAUAAAUGCCAAACAAGUAAUAUUCUUUUUGUGUGU
rnacentral:lncRNA from 1 species